UACGAAGGGGGCUAGCGUUGCUCGGAAUCACUGGGCGUAAAGGGUGCGUAGGCGGGUCUUUAAGUCAGGGUGAAAUCCUGGAGCUCAACUCCAGAACUGCCUUUGAUACUGAAGAUCUUGAGUUCGGGAGAGGUGAGUGGAACUGGCGAGUGUAGAGGUGAAAUUCGUAGAUAUUCGCAAGAACACCAGUGGCGAAGGCGGCUCACUGGCCCGAUACUGACGCUGAGGCACGAAGG
rnacentral:rRNA from 1 species